UGGGGAAUUUUGGACAAUGGGCGCAAGCCUGAUCCAGCCAUGCCGCGUGCGGGAAGAAGGCCUUCGGGUUGUAAACCGCUUUUGUCAGGGAAGAAAUCUUCUGAGUUAAUACCUCGGGAGGAUGACGGUACCUGAAGAAUAAGCACCGGCUAACUACGUGCCAGCAGCCGCGGUAAUACGUAGGGUGCAAGCGUUAAUCGGAAUUACUGGGCGUAAAGCGUGCGCAGGCGGUUUUGUAAGACAGAGGUGAAAUCCCCGGGCUCAACCUGGGAACUGCCUUUGUGACUGCAAGGCUUGAGUGCGGCAGAGGGGGAUGGAAUUCCGCGUGUAGCAGUGAAAUGCGUAGAUAUGCGGAGGAACACCGAUGGCGAAGGCAAUCCCCUGGGCCUGCACUGACGCUCAUGCACGAAAGCGUGGGGAGCAAAACAGGAUUAGAUACCCUGGUAGUCCACGCCCUAAACGAUGUCAACUGGUUGUUGGGAAGGUUCCUUCUCAGUAACGUAGCUAACGCGUGAAGUUGACCGCCUGGGGAGUACGGCCGCAAGGUUGAAACUUAAAUGAAUUGACGGGGU
rnacentral:rRNA from 1 species